rnacentral:misc_RNA from 1 species
UUCUGCAGAGGCAGGUGGAAAAGGAUCCACUAAGAAAGAUCUUAAUAGCCAGCGGAACUUAUUUAAGGAUGUCUUGGAGUUUCUCGAGUAUGGUUAUUGCCCUGAAAACUCAAUGAAGAUUGGAGGAGAUUCACUACAGACAUCUACAUGGUCUCAACUGAUACAGCUGAACUUUUUAAAGCACUUUCUUGGCGGUGGGUUCGUUAAGCACAUGCAGGAUAAUGACCUCCUUCAUGAUGUCUUUGGGUUCAUGCCAAAGAAGAAAUAUCUUCAAGGCGUCGAACAUCAAAUGUCUAGUAGUGAAAAGAGGUUGUACAAGUCUCCAAAUUCAGUCCUCAACAAAGCCAGGAC